rnacentral:rRNA from 1 species
ACCUGGUCUUGACAUCCCGGAGACCCUUAGGAAACUAGGGGUGCUUCCAUCUGGAAGAAUCUGGAGACAGGUGCUGCAUGGCUGUCGUCAGCUCGUGUCGUGAGAUGUUGGGUUAAGUCCGCAACGAGCGCAACCCUUGCCUUUAGUUGCCAGCAGUUCGGCUGGGCACUCUAAAGGGACUGCCGGUGUUAAACCGGAGGAAGGUGGGGAUGACGUCAAGUCCUCAUGGCCUUUACGGCCUGGGCUACACACGUGCUACAAUGGUCGGUACAAAGGGUUGCCAAGCCGCGAGGUGGAGCUAAUCCCAUAAAACCGAUCGUAGUCCGGAUCGCAGUCUGCAACUCGACUGCGUGAAGUCGGAAUCGCUAGUAAUCGUGAAUCAGAAUGUCACGGUGAAUACGUUCCCGGGCCUU